rnacentral:rRNA from 1 species
AUGAACGCUAGCUACAGGCUUAACACAUGCAAGUCGAGGGGCAGCAUGGUCUUAGCUUGCUAAGACUGAUGGCGACCGGCGCACGGGUGAGUAACACGUAUCCAACCUGCCGUCUACUCUUGGACAGCCUUCUGAAAGGAAGAUUAAUACAAGAUGGCAUCAUGAGUCCGCAUGUUCACAUGAUUAAAGGUAUUCCGGUAGACGAUGGGGAUGCGUUCCAUUAGAUAGUAGGCGGGGUAACGGCCCACCUAGUCUUCGAUGGAUAGGGGUUCUGAGAGGAAGGUCCACCACAUUGGAACUGAGACACGGUCCAAACUCCUACGGGAGGCAGCAGUGAGGAAUAUUGGUCAAUGGGCGAGAGCCUGAACCAGCCAAGUAGCGUGAAGGAUGACUGCCCUAUGGGUUGUAAACUUCUUUUAUAAAGGAAUAAAGUCGGGUAUGGAUACCCGUUUGCAUGUACUUUAUGAAUAAGGAUCGGCUAACUCCGUGCCAGCAGCCGCGGUAAUACGGAGGAUCCGAGCGUUAUCCGGAUUUAUUGGGUUUAAAGGGAGCGUAGAUGGAUGUUUAAGUCAGUUGUGAAAGUUUGCGGCUCAACCGUAAAAUUGCAGUUGAUACUGGAUAUCUUGAGUGCAGUUGAGGCAGGCGGAAUUCGUGGUGUAGCGGUGAAAUGCUUAGAUAUCACGAAGAACUCCGAUUGCGAAGGCAGCCUGCUAAGCUGCAACUGACAUUGAGGCUCGAAAGUGUGGGUAUCAAACAGGAUUAGAUACCCUGGUAGUCCACACGGUAAACGAUGAAUACUCGCUGUUUGCGAUAUACGGCAAGCGGCCAAGCGAAAGCGUUAAGUAUUCCACCUGGGGAGUACGCCGGCAACGGUGAAACUCAAAGGAAUUGACGGGGGCCCGCACAAGCGGAGGAACAUGUGGUUUAAUUCGAUGAUACGCGAGGAACCUUACCCGGGCUUAAAUUGCAGAUGAAUUACGGUGAAAGCCGUAAGCCGCAAGGCAUCUGUGAAGGUGCUGCAUGGUUGUCGUCAGCUCGUGCCGUGAGGUGUCGGCUUAAGUGCCAUAACGAGCGCAACCCUUGUUGUCAGUUACUAACAGGUUCCGCUGAGGACUCUGACAAGACUGCCAUCGUAAGAUGUGAGGAAGGUGGGGAUGACGUCAAAUCAGCACGGCCCUUACGUCCGGGGCUACACACGUGUUACAAUGGGGGGUACAGAGGGCCGCUACCACGCGAGUGGAUGCCAAUCCCCAAAACCUCUCUCAGUUCGGACUGGAGUCUGCAACCCGACUCCACGAAGCUGGAUUCGCUAGUAAUCGCGCAUCAGCCACGGCGCGGUGAAUACGUUCCCGGGCCUUGUACACACCGCCCGUCAAGCCAUGGGAGCCGGGGGUACCUGAAGUGCGUAACCGCGAGGAGCGCCCUAGGGUAAAACUGGUGACUGGGGCU